CCGCACGGGUGAGUAACACGUAUCCAACCUGCCGUCUACUCUUGGACAGCCUUCUGAAAGGAAGAUUAAUACAAGAUGGCAUCAUGAGUCCGCAUGUUCACAUGAUUAAAGGUAUUCCGGUAGACGAUGGGGAUGCGUUCCAUUAGAUAGUAGGCGGGGUAACGGCCCACCUAGUCUUCGAUGGAUAGGGGUUCUGAGAGGAGGUCCCCCACAUUGGAACUGAGACACGGUCCAA
rnacentral:rRNA from 1 species